CGCUAACGCCGAUCUCCUCUCUCUCUCUCUCUUGGAUGAACGUUGCAGAAGGGAUCAAAUUCGUUGUUGCGGGAUGGCAGGAGGAGGAGGAGGAGGAGGUCGGUAGUUAUUGAUUCAAAUUUACUUGUGAUUAGAUUUUAAAAUGGUGGUUGUGUUUGGUUUUAGGUGAUCAUCAUCACGUGGGAGUGUGGUGGGACCUGAACACGUGUCCUCUUCCGGCUGGUGUAGACGCUCGUUGUGUCCGUCCGUGUAUAGAAUCUGCGUUGGAAAAGCAGUUUGGUCGUCGUUCUGCAGUCAGCAUCUAUAUCUAUGCCAUAGGAAACCUAGAAUUCAUCUCUAGUGACCUCUUGCAAAACAUCUCUUCCUCCGGAAUCAUUGUUACUCAUGCCCCCUGCGGUAAAGUCAAUCAGAUCAAUCCUAAUCGAUUUGUUUUGUUUAGUCUAAUUAAUUAGAGAGAGUUAGUAGUCUCAUGAUCUGAUCUGGCCUCCUUGUCUACUCUUAGGUAUGCACGACUUACAUGAUUUUCUUAUCGACUGGUCUGAGGAUGAGCUUAAAAACCCACAUCCUCCUGGUUACGUAAUGAUCAUCUCGAGUGAUUAUAAACUGCUUUACCCUAAGCGUUUUCGGCUUUUUGGAUUCACUACUUUUGUUGCAUAUCCAAAAGGUGUUCGCCUACUUGCCCAUCUUACCCAGCUAAAAUUUAUUGGCCAAGAGUUUGACGAAGUGUUUGCCAAAGAGUUUGUCUGGGAAACCUUAUUGAGUGAUAAUUUGGAUGAAACUUUAUUAUUGAGUGACAACAACACAUGUGAUGAGAAACCUCUCUGCAUUUGCAACAUAUGCUGUUAUGAUUACGAAGUAUGUGACGAAUUCAUCACUCAUCUCAAGUGUGAAGAGCACAGAAACCAGGUAAUUAAGGAAGCAGCAUGCAUCCUCAGCUUUUUUUUUUUAUCAUUUUUUUUCAUGUAAUCUGUGUGUGUGUGCAGUGGUCUGAAAUUGUGCACGACCGCAAGCUUAAAUAUUUUUGCCAAGUUUGCAAUUAUCCCGCCUAUAGCCACUAUAACCUCUUUCUCCAUAACCAAAGUGAAGCACAUAAUCGCAAGGUAAGCGCAGCUUGUGAUCAUUAUUAUACAUUUUAACAACUCUCUGUAUCACUAAAAUUUGAUCCCCAUUUUGGUUUGUUUUCAAGCUGGUUGAGAAACAGGCUCAAGAAGAGGAGGAUUGCCAGAGCAGGAAGACAAAUCCAGAAUUGGAUCUCUUCUACGAGAGAAACAAGGAGCAAUCUCUUUGAACCAAGGCAGCCUAAGGAAGAAGAAGAAGAAGCAGCAGCUAGAGUGCGUGCAUCCCCAUGGGGUCUUUGUGUUAAAGAGUUUUACUAAAUAAUGGACUACUUAAUUAUUAUUAUUAUUAUGCUGAAUACUUUGUUCUUCUACCACUCAAAAUAUUUUCAAGUCUGGUUUGUUUUUCUUUUUCUUCAUUUUUAAUUAUUACAUGACAAGAUUUAUUCGUAUGUGAAACUUAAAACAAACUCACUUAGAAAGAAAUUUCAUUUCUAUCUUUGCACAUAUUUUUGUCUUUUAUUUUUGAUUUCUAGGAUUACUUUUGGGUAUUUUUCUGUCUAUCAGGUUCUAGAGGAGAAGUUGUGGCAGUCAGUUGUGGCAGUCACGGGCCGGACCAAGGAGUGAAAUUGAUUGGGGUCAAGAAAAUAAUUAAAGUGUCUCUGCUGCGUAGAGAAGUCGGGUUCUGUGGUGUCAAGCACUCUGCUACCAAUUCUUUACUGUUUAUCUAUGUAAAACAUAUUUUUAUGUUUUUUGUGGUGUCAGGUGACCCCAUUCCUCUUCAACUGGGUUCGCUUUUGGAGGCACUACACGAAAUAAACACAGUCAUAUACAAAAAGAAUAGAGAUAAUGCACAAACUUUGAAAAACCAAACAUUGAUAAGACAAAAACAGAGUCAGUCAUGUCUUAAAGUCUUGAACUUUGAGUAGUAUACUAGUCUUUUUGGAUCCUUCUAAGGUUACAUUAGCAACAUCAACGAGCUUAGACUUCAAGAACAGUCUAGCAAUCUCCCUAACAUCAUCCCCACCGCAUUCAUCAACCGCCACCACGCAAAACCGGCCUCGCCUCACCGCCCUCUCCAUCCCCUCCACGACCCUCCACGGAAACAGAGCAUCAUCAAGAUGCGCAGUAAACGCGAAAUCAAACGCACCAUCGAAAAAAUGAAGGUUAUGAGGAUCAGCUCUUCUCACGAGAGGAAGCGAAUCCACCAACUCCACGGCGGUAAUGUCAUAUAACUCGAUCUGGGCCAUCUCCAUCGGAGCGUGUCUGGCGGCGGCGGAGAGGCAGAGAGCUUUGGUGUGGUUGCAAAGCGACCCGAGAUUGCGGAGUCGGAGGAAGUAAAAGGAGAAGGAGGAGAGACGCGAUGUCCAAGCCUUGGAGGACCAGAGGCGAGCGUUCUUCUUCGGUAGGGAUAUUGAUUUUGUAAGUUUUUUUUAUAUUUGAUAUUGAUUUACAUUUUGUUUUGAAAUAAAUGAUUUUUGGUAAUAUUAAAAAUAUUAGAAAUAAAAAAAUAACAUGAUGAUUUGUCAUAGUAUGAUUGGCGGCGGUUUGGCUUAUAGUUUCAAUUUUUAUAUAUUAAGAAUUGCUUAUAAAUCUUAUUACAAUAAUAUAAUUAAAUAAGAAAUUUUUGGUUGGCCCAUAAGUUUAUAGGUCCAUAGGUUUUGUGCAUAAUAAUAGAUCUCUCUCUCUCCCUCUCUUGGAUCAAUCAAAUUCUGAAAGUCGAUCUCCUCUCUAGCUCAGUGUCAAUGUCAAUGUUGAAACUCAACAUCCCCACUUUCCCAAAUUUAGCGUCAUCUCUGUUCCCAAAUUCGAACCCAAGAGGACCCAGCGAGAUUCGAUUCUCCAACAGAUCAAAUUCGAACCCAAGAGGACCCAGCCAGAUUCGAUUCUCUAACAGAUGGGGCAACGCUAACGCCGAUCUCCUCUCUCUCUCUCUCUUGGAUGAACGUUGCAGAAGGGAUCAAAUUCGUUGUUGCGGGAUGGCAGGAGGAGCAGGAGGAGGAGGUCGGUAGUUAUUGAUUCAAAUUUACUUGUGAUUAGAUUUUAAAAUGGUGGUUGUGUUUGGUUUUAGGUGAUCAUCAUCAUGUGGGAGUGUGGUGGGACCUGAACACGUGUCCAGUUCCGGUUGGUGUAGACCCUCGUUGUGUCCGUGCGUGUAUAGAAUCUGCGUUGGAGAAGCAGAUUGGUCGUCGUUCUGCAGUCAGCAUCUAUGCCAUUGGAAACUUA
rnacentral:lncRNA from 1 species